GAUGAACGCUAGCGGCAGGCCUAACACAUGCAAGUCGAGGGGUAGGGUUAGCUUGCUAACUUGAGACCGGCGCACGGGUGCGUAACGCGUAUGCAAUCUACCUUGUACAGGGGGAUAGCCCAGAGAAAUUUGGAUUAAUACCCCAUGGUGUUAUGAUGUGGCAUCACAUUAUAACUAAAGUUCCAACGGUACAAGAUGAGCAUGCGUCCCAUUAGCUAGUUGGUGUGGUAACGGCAUACCAAGGCAAUGAUGGGUAGGGGUCCUGAGAGGGAGAUCCCCCCCACUGGUACUGAGACACGGACCAGACUCCUACGGGAGGCAGCAGUGAGGAAUAUUGGUCAAUGGGCGCAAGCCUGAACCAGCCAUGCCGCGUGCAGGAUGACGGUCCUAUGGAUUGUAAACUGCUUUUAUACGGGAAGAAACACUCCUACGUGUAGGAACUUGACGGUACCGUAAGAAUAAGGAUCGGCUAAAUUCGUGCCAGCCGCCGCAGUAA
rnacentral:rRNA from 1 species